rnacentral:tRNA from 1 species
GAGAGAGGCUUAAAGCAGUAAGGACUGCUAAUCCAUACCCCCACGGUUAG